AUUGAACGCUGGCGGCAUGCCUUACACAUGCAAGUCGAACGGCAGCACGGGAGCAAUCCUGGUGGCGAGUGGCGAACGGGUGAGUAAUAUAUCGGAACGUGCCCGGUCGUGGGGAUAACGUAGCGAAAGCUACGCUAAUACCGCAUACGAUCUACGGAUGAAAGCGGGGGAUCGCAAGACCUCGCGCGAUUGGAGCGGCCGAUAUCAGAUUAGGUAGUUGGUGAGGUAAAGGACUCACCAAGCCGACGAUCUGUAGCUGGUCUGAGAGGACGACCAGCCACACUGGGACUGAGACACGGCCCAGACUCCUACGGAGGCAGACAGUGGGGAAUUUUGGACAAUGGGCGCAAG
rnacentral:rRNA from 1 species